rnacentral:rRNA from 1 species
AGAGUUUGAUCCUGGCUCAGGAUGAACGCUGGCGGCGUGCCUAAUACAUGCAAGUCGAACGCAUAUCUUCGGAUAUGAGUGGCGAACGGGUGAGUAAUACAUAAGUAACCUGGCCUUAAGAGGGGGAUAACUAUUAGAAAUGAUAGCUAAGACCGCAUAGGUAUGAAGAUCGCAUGAUCGACAUAUUAAAUAUCCCAAGGGAUAGCUGAAGGAUGGACUUAUGGCGCAUUAGCUAGUUGGUAGGGUAACGGCCUACCAAGGCGACGAUGCGUAGCCGACCUGAGAGGGUGGACGGCCACACUGGGACUGAGACACGGCCCAGACUCCUACGGGAGGCAGCAGUAGGGAAUUUUCGGCAAUGGGGGGAACCCUGACCGAGCAACGCCGCGUGAGGGAGGAAGUAUUUCGGUAUGUAAACCUCUGUUAUAAAGGAAGAACGGUGCAUGUAGGGAAUGACAUGCAAGUGACGGUACUUUAUGAGGAAGCCACGGCUAACUACGUGCCAGCAGCCGCGGUAAUACGUAGGUGGCGAGCGUUAUCCGGAAUUAUUGGGCGUAAAGAGGGAGCAGGCGGCAGCUAAGGUCUGCGGUGAAAGCCCGAAGCUAAACUUCGGUAAGCCGUGGAAACCGAGCAGCUAGAGUGCAGUAGAGGAUCGUGGAAUUCCAUGUGUAGCGGUGAAAUGCGUAGAUAUAUGGAGGAACACCAGUGGCGAAGGCGACGAUCUGGGCUGCAACUGACGCUCAGUCCCGAAAGCGUGGGGAGCAAAUAGGAUUAGAUAUCCUAGUAGUCCACGCCGUAAACGAUGAGUACUAAGUGUUGGGGGUCAAACCUCAGUGCUGCAGUUAACGCUAUAAGUACUCCGCCUGAGUAGUACGUUCGCAAGAAUGAAACUCAAAGGAAUUGACGGGGGCCCGCACAAGCGGUGGAGCAUGUGGUUUAAUUCGAAGCAACGCGAAGAACCUUACCAGGUCUUGACAUCGAUCUAAAGGAUCCAGAGAUGGAUAGAUAGUUAUAGAGAAGACAGGUGGUGCAUGGUUGUCGUCAGCUCGUGUCGUGAGAUGUUGGGUUAAGUCCCGCAACGAGCGCAACCCUUGUCGUUAGUUACCAGCAGUAAGAUGGGGACUCUAGCGAGACUGCCUCUGCAAGGAGUAGGAAGGCGGGGAUGACGUCAAAUCAUCAUGCCCCUUAUGACCUGGGCUACACACGUGCUACAAUGGACGGAUCAAAGGGAAGCGAAGCCGCGAGGUGAAGCGAAACUCAAAAACCCGUUCUCAGUUCGGACUGCAGUCUGCAACUCGACUGCACGAAGUUGGAAUCGCUAGUAAUCGCGAAUCAGAAUGUCGCGGUGAAUACGUUCUCGGGCCUUGCACACACCGCCCGUCA